UCUAUUUCAAAAUCUGCCCCUGAAUAUUUGGUCUACACUGAACUACUGCAUACAAAAAGACCAUUCAUCCAAGGUGCAACUAGCGUGAAAGAGAAUUGGCUUGUUAAAUAUGCUCCAUCGUUAUGCAGUUUUUCUGCACCUCUCUCAGAUCCAAAACCUUAUUACGACCCACUGAAUGACCAGGUCCUCUGUUGGGUCAGUCCAACUUUUGGUCCUCAUCUAUGGAACUUGUGCAGUUUUUCUGCACCUCUCGCAGAUCCAAAACCUUAUUACGACCCACUGAAUGACCAGGUCCUCUGUUGGGUCAGUCCAACUUUUGGUCCUCAUCUAUGGAGGCUCCCUCUGCAUAGUUUGCCAAUCGAAAAUGAUAUGAGCCGGGUGGCAGUAU
rnacentral:lncRNA from 1 species